AGUGAACGCUGGCGGUAGGCCUAACACAUGCAAGUCGAACGGCAGCACAGUAAGAGCUUGCUCUUACGGGUUGCGAGUGGCGGACGGGUGAGGAAUACAUCGGAAUCUACUUUUUCGUGGGGGAUAACGUAGGGAAACUUACGCUAAUACCGCAUACGACCUACGGGUGAAAGCAGGGGAUCUUCGGACCUUGCGCGAUUGAAUGAGCCGAUGUCGGAUUAGCUAGUUGGCGGGGUAAAGGCCCACCAAGGCGACGAUCCGUAGCUGGUCUGAGAGGAUGAUAGGCCACACUGGAACUGAGACACGGUCCAGACUCCUACGGGAGGCAGCAGUGGGGAAUAUUGGACAAAGGUGGCAAGCAUGAUCCAGCCAUACCGCGUGGGUGAAGAAGGCCUUCGGGUUGUAAAGCCCUUUUGUUGGGAAAGAAAAGCAGCAGGUUAAUACCACGCUGUUCUGACGGUACCCAAAGAAUAAGCACCGGCUAACUUCGUG
rnacentral:rRNA from 1 species